AUUGAACGCUGGCGGCAUGCCUUACACAUGCAAGUCGAACGGCAGCACGGGAGCAAUCCUGGUGGCGAGUGGCGAACGGGUGAGUAAAGUAUCGGAACGUGCCCAGUCGUGGGGGAUAACGUAGCGAAAGUUACGCUAAUACCGCAUACGAUCUAUGGAUGAAAGCGGGGGAUCGCAAGACCUCGCGCGAUUGGAGCGGCCGAUAUCAGAUUAGGUAGUUGGUGGGAUAAAAGCUUACCAAGCCGACGAUCUGUAGCUGGUCGGAGAGGAAGAACAGCCACACGGGGACUGAGACACGGCCCAGACUCCUACGGGAGGGAGCAGUGGGGAAUUUUGGACAAUGGGCGAAAGCCUGAUCAAGCAAUGCCGCGUGCAGGAUGAAGGCCUUCGGGUUGUAAACUGCUUUUGUACGGAACGAAAAAGUCUACUCUAAUACAGGAGGCCCAUGACGGUACCGUAAGAAUAAGCACCGGCUAACUACGUGCCAGCAGCCGCCGUAA
rnacentral:rRNA from 1 species